rnacentral:lncRNA from 1 species
GCCGGGUGCUGAGCACCGGAGGCCCCGCCGAGGCCGGGACUCAGGUAACCUGCUCUGGCUUCAGCAGCGCCCAGAGGCUUUCCAGAGAGCUGAUAACCACGAACAAACUUGGCUGUCAAAAGCAAAUCAAUGCUUUACCUUGUUUUCUGGGUGCCUAGUCUAUCCAACACAAACUAUCCCCGAAGUUUAGUCAGGAUUUACGCUAAAUAUAUUACUUAUAUAGACCUGCAGAGAAACGCCUCCUGAUUUUGUCUUACAAUGGAACUUAAAAAGUCGCCUGACGGUGGAUGGGGCUGGGUGAUUGUGUUUGUCUCCUUCCUUACUCAGUUUUUGUGUUACGGAUCCCCACUAGCUGUUGGAGUCCUGUACAUAGAAUGGCUGGAUGCCUUUGGUGAAGGAAAAGGAAAAACAGCCUGGGUUGGAUCCCUGGCAAGUGGAGUUGGCUUGCUUGC